GACGUAGGGCGCGAGCGUUGUCCGGAUUUACUGGGCGUAAAGCGCACGUAGGCGGAUUGCUAAGUCGAGGGUGAAAUCCUGGAGCUCAACUCCAGAACUGCCUUUGAUACUGGCGACCUUGAGUCCGGGAGAGGUGAGUGGAACUGCGAGUGUAGAGGUGAAAUUCGUAGAUAUUCGCAAGAACACCAGUGGCGAAGGCGGCUCACUGGCCCGGUACUGACGCUGAGGUGCGAAAGCGUGGGGAGCAAACAGG
rnacentral:rRNA from 1 species